CACGUAGGGUGCGAGCGUUGUCCGGAAUUAUUGGGCGUAAAGAGCUCGUAGGCGGUGUGUCGCGUCGGCCGUGAAACCUGCAGCUUAACUGUGGGCUUGCGGUCGAUACGGGCAUCACUGGAGUUCGGCAGGGGAGACUGGAAUUCCUGGUGUAGCGGUGAAAUGCGCAGAUAUCAGGAGGAACACCGGUGGCGAAGGCGGGUCUCUGGGCCGAUAUUGACGCUGAGGAGCGAAAGCGUGGGGAGCGAACAGG
rnacentral:rRNA from 1 species